UACGUAGGCAGCGAGCGUUGUUCGGAGUUACUGGGCGUAAAGAGUGCGUAGGCGGUUUUCUAAGUUUGGUGUGAAAUCUCCCGGCUUAACUGGGAGGGUGCGCCGAAAACUGGAAGGCUUGAGUAUGGGAGAGGUAAGCGGAAUUCCUGGUGUAGCGGUGAAAUGCGUAGAUAUCAGGAGGAACACCAGCGGUGUAGACGGCUUACUGGACCAUAACUGACGCUGAGGCACGAAAGCGUGGGUAGCAAACAGG
rnacentral:rRNA from 1 species